CYCUUUGUUUGAUUGGUACACUAUAUAAACCUCAGUUUUUGAUUCAACUGGAGCUWAACUGUAUACGWAAAAACUAUUGWAACCGARUUUCCAUACACAAUGUACUCCAAAACGGUUGUUAUUUUAGCAGUUUUCGCUGUAGUUCUCUUCUAUAUACCAAAAAGCAAUGGUGCUACGGGGKAAUGGACAAUGGGGCGAGACACAAUACAACAAAGACGAAAUGUUUUAAAAAACAUGAGAACAGACCACUACCAGCGACCUGACAUGGACUCCACCGAGAGAGCUCUGAGGUAUUUCAAGGAUUUUUAUCGUCGCGCAYACGUUCGAAAAGGUCAACGACAAGACUGGGAAUAGAAGAUGAAAGAAUACCACGAAAUGAAACCAGAAAAAUGAGCAUAAGAAGAAUAAAAGUCCCCUYAAGAAACUGUAGAAUCUUUCUAUACUCAACUUGUAAUAUAAACGCACACUUAUGCUACUUUGAUAAGUAAAAGUUAAAUUUCAAUUAUCAUUA